GGGCCCGCACAAGCGGUGGAGUAUGUGGUUUAAUUCGAUGCAACGCGAAGAACCUUACCAGGGUUUGACAUCCUGCGAAUCUCUUGGAAACGAGAGAGUGCCUUCGGGAGCGCAGUGACAGGUGGUGCAUGGCUGUCGUCAGCUCGUGUCGUGAGAUGUUGGGUUAAGUCCGGCAACGAGCGCAACCCACAUCCCUAGUUGCCAGCAGUUCGGCUGGGCACUCUAUGGAAACUGCCCGUGAUAAGCGGGAGGAAGGUGUGGAUGACGUCAAGUCCUCAUGGCCCUUACGGGUUGGGCUACACACGUACUACAAUGCUACGGACAAAGAGCAGCAAGUUCGCGAGGACAAGCAAAUCUCAUAAACCGUGGCUCAGUUCAGAUCGUAGGCUGCAACUCGCCUACGUGAAGGAGGAAUCGCUAGUAAUCG
rnacentral:rRNA from 1 species